UGGGCGUAAAGCGCGUGUAGGCGGUUACGUAAGUCUGCUGUGAGAGUCGGAGGCUCAACCUCCGAAAGCCGGUGGAUACUGCGUGACUAGAGUACGGAAGAGGAGAGUGGAAUUCCUGGUGUAGCGGUGAAAUGCGCAGAUAUCAGGAGGAACACCAACGGCGAAGGCAGCUCUCUGGGACGUUACUGACGCUGAGACGCGAAAGCGUGGGGAGCAAACAGGAUUAGAUACCCUGGUAGUCCACGCCGUAAACGAUGGACACUAGAUGUGGGGGGUAUCGACUCCCCCCGUGUCGUAGCUAACGCGUUAAGUGUCCCGCCUGGGGAGUACGGCCGCAAGGCUAAAACUCAAAGGAAUUGACGGGGACCCGCACAAGCAGCGGAGCAUGUGGAUUAAUUCGACGCAACGCGAAGAACCUUACCUGGGCUUGACAUACCUCUGAUCGCCGUGGAAACACGGCUUCCCUUCGGGGCAGAGAUACAGGUGGUGCAUGGCUGUCGUCAGCUCGUGUCGUGAGAUGUUGGGUUGAGUCCCGCAACGAGCGCAACCCCCGUCCUAUGUUGCCAGCAUUCAGUUGGGGACUCAUAGGAGACUGCCGGUGACAAACCGGAGGAAGGUGGGGAUGACGUCAAGUCAUCAUGCCCCUUAUGUCCAGGGCUUCACACGUGCUACAUUGGCGGAUACAGAGGGCUGCGAUACCGCGAGGUGGAGCGGAUCCCAAAAAGUCCGUCUCGGUUCGGAUUGGAGGCUGAAACUCGCCUCCAUGAAGGCGGAGUUGCU
rnacentral:rRNA from 1 species